GUGUUAAUCCCAGGGCCCCAGGAAGUGUGCUGGGCUUUGAAGCCAAUUUGACACAGCGGCCAAACGUGAAAUUGCAACUUCCUUGUCCGUCACGUGAUUUUAAUGGG